rnacentral:lncRNA from 1 species
UUUUUACACAAGGUUUAUGACCACAAAAGGAAGGUUGGUAUUGAUUUUGGGAGUUUUGGUCCCAACAUUUUAGGAAUUAGGGGCCAAAAAGGGCCCAAAUAAGCAUUUUCUUGGUUUUCGCACUAUAACUUUAGUUUAAGUGAAUAGAAAUCUAUGAAAUUUUGACACAAGGUUUAUGACCACAAAAGGAAGGUUGGGAUUGAUUUUGGGAGUUUUGGUUCCAACAGUUUAGGAAUUAAGGGCCAAAAAAGGGCCCAAAUAAGCAUUAUUCUUGGUUUUCUCACAAUAACUUUAGUAUUAGUAAAUAGAAAUCAAUGAAAUUUCAACACAAGGUUUAUGACCACAAAAGGAAGGUUGGGAUUGAUUUUUGGAGUUGAGGUCACAAAAGUUUCUGAAUUAGGGGCCAAAAAGGGGCCCAAAUAAGCAUUAUUUUUGGUUUUUGCACCAUAACUUUAGUAUAAGUAAAUAGAAAUCUAGGAAAUUUAAACACAAGGUUUAUGACCAUAAAAGGAAGGUUGGGUUUGAUUUUGGGAGUUUUGGUCCUAACAGUUUAGAAAUAAGG